CGGCGAGGUGUCGGCGCCUGGAGAAGGGGCGCAGAAGUGGGGCCAGUGAACCCGGAGGUGUCCACGUAAUCGUGACCUUUUCACUCUCUUCAAUGAUGGCUUCCUCAGAAGCGCUCCUCUCCCUCUACUUGGCCAGAGAGGACCUUUCAGGAACAGGGAAAGCGAUACACUCCGCUCCCGGCCUCCUCUCGCUGCUCCUCCUGCUCUGCUCUGUGGCUGCCUGCCAAGCCUCACUUCCGGUCUCCUCCCUGCCGCGUGGAUUCCCCCUGCCUCCCACCUACCCAUGUUGUGUUCUCAGCUCGUCACAGGAAUUAACUCACUCGGGCCUCGCAAGAGCUACAUGAGGGAAUGCAUUAUCACUCUCAUUCCAUAAAUGUGAGACAACCAACGUGAUAAGCCAAAAAGUGCCAGGAGUAGCAUUCACAAGUAACCUGGCAGAAUGUGGAAGUUGGUCCUUGAAGACUAUAAGAGUCUGCCUUGAACUGCAUGAGCUGAGCUUUUAAGAUCUGGAACAAGAGUCUGCACCUGAAGUAGCAAAUUUGAUGAACUGAUUGUGGGUGAUCAUCUUCCAACAGCAAGAGGUUAUGGAGGAGAUCGCAUCUGCAGAAGAGGAGGAGAAAAAGCAUGGAGAUUUGAGAGGUAGAGAAGUAAUUGCUCCUGUCAUCAGAAGAUCAAGCUGUAGCCCAUUAAGGAAUUAUUGCCAGCUCUAGAGAUGAUUUGAAGCUAUCUGACAUGCACAUGGAGAAAUUCUGAUGAUGAGAAAGUGAAACCUUCUGGUUACACUGAGGAAGAAAAAGAACUACUGCUGUAAGAGGAAGCCGAGAAUGCCCAGGCCAUCUUGACCAUGCUGACCACAGUGUAAACUAUUGUUGGCUUACAGAGUUGCUACUAGCACUGCUCUUACCUUGUACUGGGAGUUAUCUCAAGGGUUUCUACUGAGAAGUCAGCUGUAGCUCUUGCUCCACUGGAAGUUCCUAUUGAGGGUUGCAGGUUUGUAAUAGUGAUUCUUUCCUUUGCUUCUCUGCAGUUUUACUAUGAUGGCUCAAUUUUGGAUUCAUAUUAUAUAAUUCGAUUUGCAUUGUCUGCAUUUCUAGAG
ensembl:lncRNA